UAGCUAGUAGGAGUGGUAACGGCACCCCUAGGCGACGAUCAGUACGCUGGUCUGAGAGGAUGAUCAGCCACACUGGGACUGAGACACGGCCCAGACUCCUACGGGAGGCAGCAGUGGGGAAUUUUCCGCAAUGGGCGCACGCCUGACGGAGCAAGACCGCGUGCGGGAAGAAGGUCUGUGGAUUGUAAACCUCUUUUGAUAGGGAAGAAGACAGUGACGGUACCUAUCGAAUCAGCCUCGGCUAACUCCGUGCCAGCAGACGCGGUAAUACGGCGGAGGCAAGCGUUAUCCGGAAUUAUUGGGCGUCACGAGUCCGUAGGUGGGUC
rnacentral:rRNA from 1 species